GACGAACGCUGGCGGCGUGCUUAACACAUGCAAGUCGAACGGUGAAGGGAUCAGCUUGCUGGUUCUGGAUGAGUGGCGAACGGGUGAGUAACACGUGAGUAACCUGCCCCCUUCUUCUGGAUAACCGCAUGAAAGUGUGGCUAAUACGGGAUAUUCUGCGCCUGCUGCAUGGUGGGUGUGGGAAAGAUAUUGUUUCGGUGGGGGAUGGGCUCGCGGCCUAUCAGCUUGUUGGUGGGGUGAUGGCCUACCAAGGCGGUGACGGGUAGCCGGCCUGAGAGGGUGGACGGUCACACUGGGACUGAGACACGGCCCAGACUCCUACGGGAGGCAGCAGUGGGGAAUAUUGCACAAUGGGCGCAAGCCUGAUACAGCGACGCCGCGUGAGGGAUGGAGGCCUUCGGGUUGUGAACCUCUUUCGCCAGUGAAGCAGGCCUGUCCCUUGUGGGUGGGUUGACGGUAGCUGGAGAAGAAGCGCCGGCUAACUACGUG
rnacentral:rRNA from 1 species